rnacentral:rRNA from 1 species
GACGAACGCUGGCGGCGUGCUUAACACAUGCAAGUCGAACGGAAAGGCCCUGCUUUUGUGGGGUGCUCGAGUGGCGAACGGGUGAGUAACACGUGAGUAACCUGCCCUUGACUUUGGGAUAACUUCAGGGAACUGGGGCUAAUACCGGAUAGGAGCUCCUGCUGCAUGGUGGGGGUUGGAAAGUUUCGGCGGUUGGGGAUGGACUCGCGGCUUAUCAGCUUGUUGGUGGGGUAGUGGCUUACCAAGGCUUUGACGGGCAGCCGGCCUGAGAGGGUGACCGGCCACAUUGGGACUGAGAUACGGCCCAGACUCCUACGGGAGGCAGCAGUGGGGAAUAUUGCACAAUGGGCGGAAGCCUGAUGCAGCAACGCCGCGUGCGGGAUGACGGCCUUCGGGUUGUAAACCGCUUUCGCCUGUGACGAAGCGUGAGUGACGGUAAUGGGUAAAGAAGCACCGGCUAACUACGUG